rnacentral:rRNA from 1 species
CAGCCGCCGCGGUAAUACGUAGGUGGCAAGCGUUGUCCGGAAUUAUUGGGCGUAAAGCGCGCGCAGGUGGUUUAAUAAGUCUGAUGUGAAAGCCCACGGCUCAACCGUGGAGGGUCAUUGGAAACUGUUAAACUUGAGUGCAGGAGAGAAAAGUGGAAUUCCUAGUGUAGUGGUGAAAUGCGUAGAUAUAUGGAGGAACACCGGUGGCGAAGGCGGCUCUCUGGUCUGUAACUGACGCUGAGGAGCGAAAGCGUGGGGAGCGGACAGGAUUAGAUACCCCUGUAGUCCCUGUCUCUUAUAC